UACGGAGGGGGCGAGCGUUAUUCGGAAUUAUUGGGCGUAAAGGGCGCGUAGGCGGCCCGCUAAGUCAAAGGUGAAAUCCCUCGGCUCAACUGAGGAACUGCCUUUGAGAUUGUCGGGCUUGAGGCCGGGAGGGGGUAGCGGAAUUCCCAGUGUAGCGGUGAAAUGCGUAGAUAUUGGGAGGAACACCAGUGGCGAAGGCGGCUACCUGGACCGGUUCUGACGCUGAUGCGCGAAAGCGUGGGUAGCAAACAGG
rnacentral:rRNA from 1 species